AGUACAGAGCAAGACCAAAAAAAAAUAUUUAACCCAACUUUAUAACUGAUUUAGAUAGUGGAAACUUUAUGAACAUCAAGUGCACGGCACCCAGCAGUUGGGAGUGGAUGGGAGACGUUUGUUUGUUUUCUCCGAUUCCCAGUUCCAUGGUGAGGUCACUCCCAGGACCCGGCUAGCAGCUCCCUCCUCUUCGACUCACCCUGGGAGGGCAUGGUCUGUGCCUGAGCUGCCAUCUGGGAUCCGCAGGCAGGAGCACUCCUGGUCACUGGGUGGACUGACCCUUCAGAUCCCAAGGCCAGUCCGUCUCCACCAACAGAUGGGUGUUCGUGAACUGCCGUGUGGCUUCAGGCCUGCCCUUUCUAAGUCCUAGGCACUUGCUCACAGGGCGCUGGUAGGGCCAGGUCCGGGUUCCCCUGAGGCAGCGGCUGCCCCAUGGGUGAGGGUGCAUCUCUUUGCCUCCCUCUCUGCAGUUAUUCUGAUAAAUUGCACCCCUCCACACGCACCCUGUCCUGGCCUCUCCCCCAGACACCAGGAUCUGGUGUGCCCAGGUCUAGGAUAACGAAGUACACCAAUCAGAGCCCUUCCUGAAGAUUUUUCCAGCUGGAUCCAAGAGAGGAAAUUCACAUUGCCCCGCGUCCUUGGAAUUGUUAGGUGGGCCCUGGAUGACGCUGGCAGUCAUCUGUGUGGAUUUGGGAUCUGCAGGACGAUGACCACAGGAAGGCUCCAGCCCAGGCGGCCUGGCUGACACCAUUGCACUGCCCCAGCAGGGCACUCACCUGGGCCAUGCUUCCCGCUUCGACCCUGAGCUGGUUUGCGUUAUUGACAGUGGAAAGUGUCUUAAAAUUGCAGGAAAACAAGAGGGAAGCUCUCCUCCAUGCUCUGAGAAAGGAGGUCCCACUUACGUGCUCCUCAGGAUCGUUUGAAACUUGAAGGAACGCCUUCGGUAAUGCCAACUCUUCAUCUUCACCAAGACCUACCAGAGGUAUGGAAUCCACCCCCUUUCCGUAGAUGAGCAAGCUGAGGUGCAGAAAAUCUGGCUUACACAACUCACAAGUGGCAGAGACAGGG